rnacentral:rRNA from 1 species
AUUGAACGCUAGCGGCAUGCUUAACACAUGCAAGUCGAACGAGUGGCGGACGGGUGAGUAAUGUCUGGGAAACUGCCUGAUGGAGGGGGAUAACUACUGGAAACGGUAGCUAAUACCGCAUACCAUCGGAUGAACCCAUAUGGGAUUAGCUAGUAGGUGGGGUAAAGGCUCACCUAGGCGACGAUCCCUAGCUGGUCUGAGAGGAUGACCAGCCACACUGGGACUGAGACACGGCCCAGACUCCUACGGGAGGCAGCAGUGGGGAAUAUUGCACAAUGGGCGCAAGCCUGAUGCAGCCAUGCCGCGUGUAUGAAGAAGGCCUUAGGGUUGUAAAGUACUUUCAGUGGGGAGGCGUUACCCGCAGAAGAAGCACCGGCUAACUCCGUGCCAGCAGCCGCGGUAAUUC